rnacentral:lncRNA from 1 species
AUUGUAUAUGUAUAUGUUGGUUUCCAGUUUUUCCUUGGCUCUAUGGUGUGGGAAGGGCUGCAGACCAUGUGAUCAGAACUGGGCUUGUUCAGGACUCAUACUCCAUUUUAGAGACAGUAUGCCUUCAGACUUCAGUAGGAACUGUAUGCUUUAGAUUCCAUUGGACUUCUAGACUAGCCAGAGACUCUAUUAGACUCUCAGAAGAGAGAGAUGCUUUGGACUAUAGACUAUCGAUUCUAAGAAAGAUGCCCUGUGUUAUCUACACAGAGAAGCUACUUCAAAUCCUAUUUCUAACUGGAUUGAUAAGCAAAGUACCUGCAUGCUGAAUACAUGAAGUCUAUUUAAUUGAGAGUUCUUGGUGCAGACUGCAAAUGGAGACUAUUGACAAUGGUACAAGUGAUCAGCUCACAGAUGGGGAUGUGGACAAGGAAGCUCUGUCUGAGAAAACUGUCUUGAGCAAGUCCUGGCUUGCAAUCUCGAAUCCAAUCAGCUGGAAGAAAAUGCCACUGAAGAUAACAAAUAAGAUUUCUGAAGACGUUUUCUAUGGGCUGAAUCCAGAGGAGAAGGAAUGUCUAGAGUACUUUCUGCAAACAAUCAACACCUUUGAUGGGGAUAUCUUAAACAACAAUGAUGAAGAAAGUCAUGAAGAAAUGUCAGAAUCUCUAGGUUCUGAGGACCAAGCCGAACAUGCAGUUGAUUCCAGGAUACAAGAAAGUAUGCCUCUAGAGGCAGCCCCAGCAAAAUCUGUUUCUCCUCACCCAGCUGUCUUUGCAACUAAAAUGAUCAAGUCCUCUUCAGAGGAAUGUAGUGACAUAACCCUGAGGAUCAAGAGCAAUUGUCCUAAAAUCAUGGGACCUCACAGAUUAGCAGAUCCUCAUUCUGUAAACCUCAGAAAGUUUGACACGAUCAUGAGAUCAGGUGUCAAUGUCCAAGAGCUCCGUUCUCGUUUCUUACUUCAGCUUGGUGGCUCUACCACUGUGGACAGGGAAACAACAGAGUUACCUAAGGAUGGAGGUUUGCAGAAAUUGAACAACCUGCAGAGAAACAAAAGUGUCCCAACUGUUAAGAGCCCUCAAAUGUCCAUUGCUUGUCAGCAAACCCAGAUUUCACCUGCUGAAAGGAUGGAACAUGAAGUCACCGAAAGUACCACUAGCACAGCUGAAAAGCCUUUCUAA